rnacentral:rRNA from 1 species
UACGUAGGGGCCGAGCGUUGUCCGGAGUUAUUGGGCGUAAAGCGCGCGCAGGCGGCCUCGCGCGCCCGACGUGAAAGCCCCCGGCUUAACCGGGGAGGGUCGUUGGGGACGGCGGGGCUUGAGGGCGGGAGAGGGCGGUGGAAUUCCCGGUGUAGUGGUGAAAUGCGUAGAUAUCGGGAGGAAUACCAGUGGCGAAGGCGGCUUCCUGGCCUGUUCUUGACGCUGAGGCGCGAAAGCUAGGGUAGCAAACGGG